GCGGCGAUAGCUCUGUGGGUAAAGCGCCAGAUGGCGAUUACUCCGAGAGCUAUUAUCUGCGCGGGUUCGAAUCCCGCCUGUGGCA